rnacentral:tRNA from 1 species
GCGGGCGUGGUGAAAUUGGCAGACACGCAGGAUUUAGGUUCCUGUGGGCUCGUCCCGUGGGGGUUCAAGUCCCUCCGCCCGCACCA